rnacentral:ncRNA from 1 species
ACGCCCUGCUCGUGAUCGUCUUCUCAACCUUCACGGGACAGGUGCCCGAGAGGCCCCCGCGCGGUCGAUUCGCGCGGGGGCCUCUC